AGUAACGGCGAGUGAACAGGGAAAAGCCCAAAUUUGUAAUCUGGCACUUUUUACAAGUGUCCGAGUUGUAAUUUGUAGAACUGUUAUCCGUCCUGGACCAUGUACAAGUCUGUUGAAAAGCAGCAUCAUUGAAGGUGAAAAUCCUGUAGAUGAUAUGGACUACCAGUACUUUUGUGAUACGGUUUCUAAGAGUCGAGUUGUUUGGGAAUGCAGCUCAAAGUGGGUGGUAAAUUCCAUCUAAGGCUAAAUAUAAGUGAGAGACCGAUAGCAAACAAGUACCGUGAGGGAAAGAUGAAAAGAACUUUGAAAAUAGAGUUAACAGUACGUGAAAUUGCUGAAAGGGAAACGUUUGAAGUUAGUUUUGUAUUCGUUGGAUCAGCUUCGCAAGGAGUGUAUUCUGAUGAUAAGCAAGUCAACAUCAGUCUAUGGGUGUCGGAGAAGGGUUUUGAGAAUGUAGCAAUUUAAUUGUGUUAUAGCUUGAGACUUGGAUACGAUGCUUUGGAUUGAGGAACGCGUAGUAAGCUUUGAGCGGAUUCGAAAGGAUCUCCUUACUAUGGAUGUUGGUGAAAUAACUUUAAGCGACCCGUCUU
rnacentral:rRNA from 1 species